rnacentral:rRNA from 1 species
CAGUCGCCGCGGUAAUACAGAGGGUGCAAGCGUUAAUCGGAAUUACUGGGCGUAAAGCGCGCGUAGGUGGUUUGUUAAGUUGGAUGUGAAAGCCCCGGGCUCAACCUGGGAACUGCAUCCAAAACUGGCAAGCUAGAGUACGGUAGAGGGUGGUGGAAUUUCCUGUGUAGCGGUGAAAUGCGUAGAUAUAGGAAGGAACACCAGUGGCGAAGGCGACCACCUGGACUGAUACUGACACUGAGGUGCGAAAGCGUGGGGAGCAAACAGGAUUAGAUACCCCAGUAGUCCCUGUCUCUUAUAC